GUGCAGCUUGUUCCAGCAGCACAUAUACUAAAAUUGGAAUAAUAUAGAGAAGAUUAACAUGGCCCUUCUGCAAGAGUGGCAUGCAAAUUCAUGAAAUGUUCCAUAUUUUU